rnacentral:misc_RNA from 1 species
AUCUUUUUUUAUUAUUUAUCAUUUAAAAAAUAUAUAAUUCAAAGGUGUGGGUUUUAAAUAUAAACGAUCGCGGAACCUCGCUGACGCUCGGUCCGCCAAAUCAGUAAUGAUCCUUCCGCAGGUUCACCUACGGAAA